UCUUGGAUGCCCUGUUGGGACCGGAGCCCAGCAGCUCGGCGCCCCAUGGCACGGGACCCCCUGAGGAGGAGGGUCUCAUCUGGGAUCCCUCCGAGACCUCCAUGAUGUUGCUGCCGCCACGGGGGGCUGGCAGCCUGGGGGGGACGGUCAACUUGAUCCUGAGCAUCAGCAAGAAGGGAGAGAAGAAGCAGCCACAGCUGGUGUUGAGCGGAGAACGGCCCGGGGAGGAGGCUCCGCAGAUGGCCUGCGCCUCUUUGCAUAUGGAGGAGUGCUAUGGAGAAGGGGCCUGGAAAACCUCUGCCGUGGUGCAGCCAGCAAAGCAAGCACCUGCCGCAGUGUGCCGCCCUCUGGCAUCAAGCGCCGUGGCCGCUGUGGCCUCCCACACCCUGCCCAAGGCCGGCCCCAGCUCCAUCUUCAACAGCCUGCAGAGGAAGGAGAAGGUGAAGGCUGAGCAUGCGCGGCUGCUGACGCUGCAGGGCGUCAUGGGCCCCAGCUCCCUGCAGCCCCUGCCCGAGGAGAGGCAUGGCCCCAGCAACACGUGGCCUUUGAAGUGCGGCUGGAGGAAGGCGGCCCCGGGGACGCCUGGCCCCCAGCUCGAGGAGCUGCUGCUCUACGUGAAGAACCCGCUGGUGCGGGACAUUGACGCAGAGUGCGGGGCUGCCCCCGGGGACCCCAAACCCAGCCUCCCCCACCAUGGCGGGGGGCCCAGUGCCGUGCAGCCCACUGCCGGGCCAAAAAACACCUGCCCCCACCUCUCGCUUGGGUCUGUCCUCAGCCUGGAGCUGCCCAAGGACUUGGCCGUCCUGGGCUGCCUCCGAGGCACCGCGGUGGUGGCACGGCAGGAGGAGGCAGAGGGGAAGGAGAAGAGGCAGGGCAGGGGGGCAAAGUGGUUGGAGGCUGCAGGAGCAAGCGGGCCUGGACAGCAGAAGGAGGAUGUGCAUGGACACAGUCCCCAGGGGCCAGGCGAAGGCCUGGGGAAGCCCCCCAAGGGCGAGCGAGGAACAUGGUUCGAAGAGGUGAGCUUCAACCCUAGCUACAGCCGGCAGAAAGCACGGGGCUUGGAAGUGGCCUGCCGCACCAUGGAGGAGCGGAAGAGCCCCGGCAGCGCCGAUGAAGAUUUGCUGGACUUCAGGCUGAACCGACUGUCCCGCAUCAGCGUGCUGCACAAGCAGGUCGGCCAGGAGUGGGACGAGCUGGCAGCCAGGCUGGGCCGGGAUGGCAGCUCCGGCACUGCGGGAGCUGAGAGAGCAGCCGGCUGCAAGGCCAGGCUGCGGGAAGCUGCUUGCGUUGAGCUCAGGUCCUCUCCCACCGCCCUGGCCACCAGGGCGGGUGCUGCCACUGGCAUUGCCCGGCCGGAGCGGCCCGCCGGCAGCGGGAAGUCCGGCGAGGAAGUCCUGGCGGGACUGUCCGGCGGGGGCCCGGACUCCCCUCCUGCCACCAACCAGGGCCCCCGAGCCACCCCCCAGCUCUCCAUGUUCGCCUGUGAGCUGGGCUGCCGGCAGCGCAGCCCUGAGACCAUGGGCCCGGCGGAGAUCUGCCACCCGGCCCACAGGCUGUUUGAGGAGGAGGAGGAGGAGCUGCAGGCCAUCUGGGACCAAGCAAAAGAGCAGACGGUGCCGAGCCCACGGGCAGAGAGCGGCGCCCGACCCAUGCCGGUCAGCG
ensembl:lncRNA